UACGGAGGGUGCAAGCGUUAUCCGGAUUCACUGGGUUUAAAGGGUGCGUAGGCGGAUAUCUAAGUCAGUGGUGAAAUCCUUGAGCUUAACUCGAGAACUGCCAUUGGUACUAUUUAUCUUGAAUAUUGUGGAGGUGAGCGGAAUAUGUCAUGUAGCGGUGAAAUGCUUAGAUAUGACAUAGAACACCAAUUGCGAAGGCAGCUCGCUACGCAUAUAUUGACGCUGAAGCACGAAAGCGUGGGGAUCAAACAGG
rnacentral:rRNA from 1 species